AUCGCCUACAACUGGUCCAGGCCCGACAUGAAGACCAGCGUCAAGCUCAUCCACGCCAGGUUUUGAAGAACAGUAAGCAUUGCAGAGUGUGCGACAAGUGUGUUGAUGGCUUUGAUCACCACUGCAGGAUGCUUUUCGCUGUAGGAUCUGCUCCGAGCCACCCAUCUUCAAGGUCUAUGAAAUUUGAAGUUUGAAGCCGUAUAGUAUAGCCCUACUCCGCAAAGAGUUGGAGGAGUUGGUGCCGAGUACUGGACCAGAUGUGCUUUGAUUCAUGAUCUACAGCGUCUUUGAUCUCAGAUGCGUGAUCUGCAGCGCCCUUUCUUGUUUGUUCUGACUAAAUUCAGUUGGAACAAGUUAAUCUUCAGACUGCAUAAGAAAAGAAUAAAAACAGACUCCUAAAUUCGGUUAGAACAAGUUGAGUACUUGGAUUAUAUUCAGCGCCCUUGCUUGUUUGUUAUGACUAAAUUCUGUUGCCUCGCAUGACCAUUAAUGGAGGCUGGAGCAGAUCCGAAGGGCGUUCCAGGGCCUUGAGGGCUCCCACGUCUGCCCCUUCCAGGUUACGAGAUAUGCUGCUGGAGAGAUGCCAUUAGCAAACUGGAAGGGCUGCAACCAAAUCCAAUCGAUAGCGAUUCCUUUUUUGUUUGGCCUUCUUGUAGGUUUGCACAUAAGUGGAAGUUGUAGUGUAUAUUAGUAGUCGCUGGAGCUGUGAUGGUGAUCUUUCUUUUGACUGGUUGUCAUUUGUUAUAGAUGACAAUCUUUUAGUUGCUGCUUCUUAUGUAUAGAUAAUGUGAUGAAGAUGUAACUACAACAAAUGAUGUAUGAUUGUACAGUGAAACAAAUGUUGCUUUGAUAGCAAAAUUGAAGAAAA